AUGAGGGGUGAUGAAAGAAGAGGAUGAUAUUGAUGAUGACGAUGAUGAUGUAGAAUUGAGGUUGAAGUGAAUGUUGGAGUAAGAUUGACACAGCAAUGGCAUUGAGACUGAGACCGAAAGUGUCUUCUGUUGGGUCACCUUUUCUGCAGUUAGGUUCUUCUGCAACUGCCUUCGCAUUCUCACAAGCAUGCUCUGUUCCAAACCUUGGUUUUCAACCCCUACGCUUGCAACGCAAAAAAUAUUUAUCCCCAACAACAUUCUUUGUUCGGGCUUCUAGAACAGAGUCCAAAGGUGUUAUCUUGGGCUUCAGGGCACCGCAAUUCGAGCUUCCGGAGCCCCUUACUGGGAAGGUUUGGACAUUAGAAGAUUUUGAAGCAUAUCCUGCUCUACUGGUUAUGUUUCUAUGCAACCACUGUCCAUUCGUUAAGCACCUGAAAAAAGACAUUGUAAAGCUUACAAAAUUCUUUAUGGAGAAAGGACUUGCUGUUGUUGCUAUAUCUUCGAAUUCCGUAGCCACACACCCCCAGGAUGGUCCAGAAUUCAUGGCAGAGGAUGCUAAACUGUUUAAAUAUCCUUUCCCAUACCUAUACGAUGAGUCGCAGGAUGUUGCACAGGAUUUUGGAGCUGUUUGUACCCCAGAAUUUUUCCUUUUCAAAAAGGCUGGUCGAAGGCCAUUUGAGCUGGUUUAUCAUGGCCAAUUUGAUGAUUCACGGCCAAGUAAUAAUGUACCAGUCACUGGAAGUAGUAACCAUUUAAGUUUCUAUAUAAAGAGACUUGAGCUUGGCAAUAGAUCGUGUUCUUAGUGGCCAACCGGUACCAUCAGUGCAAAAGCCCAGUGUUGGAUGCAGCAUAAAGUGGCACCCAGGGAAGAAGUUUUGAUCGAUAAACCGUAAUUAUCUUGUUCAAAAGAUACUAUUCAUGUUCCUCUCCACCUAGAAUUUCGGUAAGUGUGACAUUCAAGGAAAUGGUGUCAUCUGUGGUUCUUAUGGAUAUAUCUCACUUAAGUUGUGUACUAAAUUGAUCUCAUCAAAAUAUUGAAACCACCAUUCGGUCACACGAGGUUCGGGUGUCAUUGUUCUUUGUAUCUUAUGUUGUAACUGUAAUAAUGUCAUGAAAUUUGUUUUGCAAUCCUCCUGGAAAUACAAUCAUAUUUUCUUUUGUUAUAAGCUAUUUAUGAUGUUUUCUAAGA